rnacentral:rRNA from 1 species
CAGUCGCCGCGGGAAUACGAAGGGGGCUAGCGUUGUUCGGAAUUACUGGGCGUAAAGCGCACGUAGGCGGAUAUUUAAGUCAGGGGCGAAAUCCCAGAGCUCAACUCUGGAACUGCCUUUGAUACUGGGUAUCUUGAGUAUGGAAGAGGUGAGUGGAAUUCCGAGUGUAGAGGUGAAAUUCGUAGAUAUUCGCAAGAACACCAGUGGCGAAGGCGGCUCACUGGCCCGAUACUGACGCUGAGGCACGAAAGCGUGGGGAGCAAACAGGAUUAGAUACCCCAGUAGUCCCUGUCUCUUAUAC